rnacentral:snRNA from 1 species
ACACUUACCUGGCAGGGGAGACACCAUGAUCACGAAGGUGGUUUUCCCAGGCAAGGUGCUGACCUCUGUGAUUUCCCCAAAUGCGGGAAACUCGACUGCAUAGUUUGUAAAAAAU